rnacentral:rRNA from 1 species
UACGGAGGGUGCGAGCGUUGUCCGGAAUCACUGGGCGUAAAGGGCGCGUAGGCGGCAGGCCAAGCGUGCGGUGAAAGUCCGGGGCUCAACCCCGGAUCUGCCGUGCGGACUGGUUUGCUAGAGCACUGUAGAGGCGAGUGGAAUUCCGGGUGUAGCGGUGGAAUGCGCAGAUAUCAGGAGGAACACCGGUGGCGAAGGCGGGUCUCUGGGCCGAUACUGACGCUGAGGAGCGAAAGCGUGGGGAGCGAACAGG